GCCCUUGUAGUACAGUGGCGAGUAUAGGGGACUGUGGAUCCCCGGACAGGGGUUCGA
rnacentral:tRNA from 1 species